UAUACUAAAAAUACAAAAAAAAAAUUAGCUGGGCAUGGUGGCAUGCCCGGUGGCACCUGUAAUCCCAGCUACUCAGGAGGUUGAGACAGGAGAAUCACUUGAACCCAGGAGGCAGAGGUUGCAGUGAGCCGAGAUUGUGCCACUGCACUCCAGUCUGGGCAACAGAGUGAGACUCUGUCUCAAAAAAAAAAAAAAAAAAAAAUGAAGAAAAAUAAACAGAGCAUCAAAGAAACGUGAGACACCAUUAAGCACACCACCAUACAUGUAAGGGAAAUACCAGAAGCAGAGCAGAGAACGAGCAAAUAAAAGUCAAAGAAAUAAUUGGCUGGAAACUUCCCAAACUUACUGAAAAACAUUAAUGUACAAAUCCAAAGAGCUCAACAAACUCUACGCAGAAUAGACACAAAGAGAUCCACAAUUAUAUAUAUUAGUUAAAAAAAAAAAAACUAGGCCAGGCGCGGUGGCUCAUGCCUGUAA
rnacentral:lncRNA from 10 species